rnacentral:rRNA from 1 species
CCUACGGGGCGCUGCAGUGGGGAAUAUUGGACAAUGGGCGAAAGCCUGAUCCAGCCAUGCCGCGUGUGUGAAGAAGGCCUUCGGGUUGUAAAGCACUUUCAGUGGGGAAGAAAGCCUUGGGGCUAAUACCCUCGAGGAAGGACAUCACCCACAGAAGAAGCACCGGCUAACUCCGUGCCAGCAGCCGCGGUAAUACGGAGGGUGCGAGCGUUAAUCGGAAUUACUGGGCGUAAAGCGCGCGUAGGCGGUCUGAUAAGCCGGUUGUGAAAGCCCCGGGCUCAACCUGGGAACGACAUCCGGAACUGUCAGGCUAGAGUGCAGGAGAGGAAGGUAGAAUUCCCGGUGUAGCGGUGAAAUGCGUAGAGAUCGGGAGGAAUACCAGUGGCGAAGGCGGCCUUCUGGACUGACACUGACGCUGAGGUGCGAAAGCGUGGGUAGCAAACAGGAUUAGAUACCCUAGUAGUC